UUUUAUAUUUGAAACAAAAAGUGUGCAUCAAAAGCAAGUGAAUCAAGCAGAAGUUCUGGAAAUGGUAAUCAUCUCAACUAUGGAAGAUGCUUGUGAGACUAUGAAAUAAUGCUAAACAUCUCACAUCUAAUCAUAUACUACAUUAUAUAUUUCAAAUAUGUUAAAUUGCUUUCCAGCACCUUUCAAAAGAAUAAAUUAUGCUCUGCCUGAAUUUAAGAAAAAAUAUCGCUUUCUGUAUAUUUGCCCGAAGCACAAACAUAAUUUUCAUUUUGUAAAUAUAUAAUACUAAAAAUCAAACGUCCUUGAAAAUCCAGCAAAGUAGAUUGUAAAACCCAGUAAGUCAAAUCUGCUUUACUAUCUAAAUUCACUCAGUAAUACAGCCAAAAAUAGUGAACUUUGUUGGGUUCUAAAAGCUUCUGUGUCCUCAAUAAAAUACUAGUUUGCCAAUUAAUCACCAGUGGUCUUUAAUAGCAGUAAAAACCAAUUUACUCAUUUAAGAAUUCUAUCAGAGGUCCAAAUAUUAUCCCAUAGAUUAGAAAAAUAUUAAUAAUUGGUCAAGGAGAUUGGAAGUUGUUUUUCCCCUAGAUUAGUUUUCCAUACUUAUAGUUAUUAAUAUUCUUAAGCCAUCUUGCACUUCCCUGGUGGUCCAGUGGCUAAGACUCCAUGCUCCCAGUGCAGGGGGCCCAGGUUCGAUCCCUGGUCAGGGAACUAGAUCCCACAUGCCGCAACUAAGAGUUCACAUGCCGCAACUAAAGAUCCCACGUGCCAUGACUAAGACCUGGUGCUGCCAAAUAAAUAAGUAUUAAAAAUAUAUAUAUAUAUUCCUAAGCCAUCUUGAGAAAUCAUUUGUUGGAAAAACUUUCAUUAACCACCUCCAAGAAAGGGUUUCACCCCCAAAAAGCCAGUUGUGAACAAUCUCGUGUCAUUAUUCUUUGAAUUUCAGAUAACAGGCUAUCCCAGACUCUUCUUUUAUAAAAAUAAAAAUGACAGCUGUCACUUCUUGAACAUUUAUUAAAUAGUAGGCACUAUGCUAAACCCUUCACAUACCCUAUGUUCACAAUCCUGUGAGGUAGGUUUACUAUCGUUAACUCACAGGUAAGGAAAAUGAGGCUACAAGAACUGAACUAAACUACAGUGGGCUGAGCCAACAGUUGAAUCAGUUUAAAUUCCAGAGUCCAUGUUUGUAAAUAAUAUGCCAUAGUGCUUUCUAUUCACAGAGCAUCUGCCCCAUUAACCACUCUCGGUUAUCAUCUUCCACCAGAGAGAACACACCGAGGGACUCAGCAAAAUGUCCUGUAAGAUGAGGGAAAUGACUGAUUUUGUCCUGCUUGCAGGAUCUUAGUUCCCCAACCAGGGAUCAAACCUGGGACCCUACAGUGAAAGCACCAAGUCUUAACUACUGGACCACCUGGGAAUUCCCAAGAAAAUUCAAUUUUCAGUCUCCAACUCCAUGUACUGAAAACAUGCCAGUUCUGAGGUACUCUGAACUCCUCAAAGAAAGUGUCUAAGAUUAUGGUUCUCUGUGAAGAAUACAAUUCCCAGUCAUAUCUUUCCUCAGAGUAAUAUAAAUAAAAUCAGUUCUUACAAUUUCUUUGACAUACGUUGUUGCUAAACCCAAGCAAAUGAGCAAGAAACUUUCAUAAGCCCUUCCUAACGUCAGAUAUGAAAUGUAUUGAACCUGAAGCAUUUAUACAGGUUACAAAACCUAUCCUAGUACCACGGCCCCAGAAGACAGGCAUAAAGCACCCUCUGUGACUCGCUCUACUUUUUAAGGCCUACCUGGCAUCUGAACAAAGUACAUUUUGCAAAAAUCAGGCUUUGCAUGAAAAUCAAGGUUCCCACAGUUGAAAGAUCUCCCACUCAUCAGCAUGCUACAAGCAGCUGAAGGUUUGGAAAAGUGUCAAAAAAACAAACCUUCACAGAAAUGGAACUCAGAGAAACAAACUGAACCAGCUAAGUGUAUUUAUUUAUGUUUUAUCAGAAUUAUCUCUUUAUUGGGGUAAAGGAGUGAAAAUUCAGUAAUUUGUCCAUAAACAAUAAAGUGAUAUUUUUACUUUGGUAAAAUUAAUCUCAAAGGCACUGUACCUAAACAGAUUGCCUGUUAACUAUCUCUUAUGGAAAGCAGAAUUUCACUAAAUCUGCACCUUUAUUGAAAUUGUCAUCUGCUUUAAAGUAACUGGUAUCGUCCCUUCUGUCCCUCCAAGAACCAGUUACCCCUUUUCUCCUUAACUCCUUUGUGGUUGCUGAAGAGUUUGCUUUUAUCCUCAGAGUCCUCAGGCUGCAUUAUGAGCCAAGAAAUUCGAAUGAGAAUGAAUGCAGGUUGUCUGGCAGCUCCUGGGCAGCCAGGGUGGCCACUUGGGAAAAGAUGCCCUUAGAGAUGGUCUCCUGAGUAAACAGAAACGCUUUGUAGUCCUCCUAAAUCAAGACCCAUAUCCCCUUUCAUUAGAGUCCUGCUGAUAGUCAUCCUGGGAAUAUAGAGAGGGAUACAGAAAGUAACAAACAUGGGGAAAUUGUAAGCCAGCCAGAUAGAUAUCUGGGUGGACAUCACUUUCAGGCUUUAUCCGUUCAGUCAUUUAUUAUAUGAUUCAUUUAUUCAACAGUCAUCACUGGAAGCCCACCAGGGCCAAGGACUAAUAGUUACUAGGGAUACGGUGCUGAUCAAAAUAGACAGUCUUUGCCUUAUUACAGCGUUUUUCUAAUGGAGACAGCCAGUAAACAAUUAUAUGUAACUAUUAUGAACUGAAGUGUGCCCCCCAGCCCCCAAAAUUCAUGUUUGAAGCUAUAACCCACAAUGUGACUGUAUCUGGAGAUAAGGCAUUUAAGGAGGGAAUUAAGGUUAAAUUAGGUCACAAGGGUGGGGCCCUAAUCUGAUAGGACUGGUGUCCUUAGAAGGGGAAGAGACACCAGAGACCCCCUAAACUUCUCCCUCCAUGCACAUACAGAGAAGAGGCCACAUGAGGACACAAUGAGAAGGCAGCCUUCCACAAGCCAGGAAAAGAGACCUCACAAGAAACCAAUCCUGAUGGCAUUUUGACCUUGAACUUCUAGCCUCCAGAAUUGUGAGAAAAUUAAUUUCUGUUAUUUAAGCCAGUUAGUCUGUGGUAUUUUGUUAUGGAAGCCCGAGCAGGCUAAUACAGUAGCAUAAUGUUGGGUAAUGAUAAGAAUCAUGAAGAAAAUAAAGUAUGGCAGAAGGAUAUAUAGUGAUGGGGUGGAAAGCUAUGUUGAACAUGGAAACUAGGAAAGGCCCUGGGGGAAGAUCAUUCCAGGCUGAAGUAUUCCUGGGGGAAUUAAUUCCCUGACAUGAGAACAAAAUGGAGGCGUGCAAGAAAUAGCCAAAAAGGCUGUGUAGCCCAAGCACAUUAGGCAGAGUACACAUGAAAGGAAAUGAGGACAAAGAGGAAACCAGGGUCCAGAUUAUUAGGGCCAUGUAGGCCAUAGCAAGGACUUCAGAUUUUGUUCUAAGUGGGAUGGAAAGCUGCUGGAAGGUUUUAAGCAAGAGAGUGACAAAUAUGAUUUACUUUAAAAGGGUCACAGACACAGAGGAAGGAGACUGUGGGAGAGAAAGACUGGAAGGUGGGAGAAUGGUUAUGAGGCUAGUUUAACAGUCCAGGUGAGAGAUGGUGGGGGCAUGGGCUAGAAGGGAUGGGGUUGAAGGAGGUGAGAAAGAGUUGGAUUCAGAGUAUAUUUUCAAGAUAAUUGAGGAUUGCUCUAUCAAUUAGAUGUGGCAUGCAAGAGAAAGAAAAGAAUCAAGGGCCCUGACUGAGCUGUGCACUGGUCAUUGCGGUGCUGUUUACUGAGAUGAUAAAACAGCAGGAGGCACAAGUUUGUGGGGAGCGGGUUUGAAUCAAGAGUUCAGUUUUGUACAUGUCUAUUAGACAUCCAAGUGGAGACGUUGAAUAGACAAUUGGAUAGACCAGCAUGGAGUUCAGGGAGGGUUAGGAUUAGAGAGAUAAAAUGAGUGUCAUCAGCAUUUAAGUGGUAUUGAAAGACUGAAUAUCGUUAAUCACUGCCAGCACCUGCUUCUCAAUUUACAGAUCCAUAUUUAGGGGUGGGAGAGGAAGUAGGGAGCUAUUUUCCUAUCUUUCUGCUCCUCCUUUCCCUUCUUCAUCCCCUCAAAAAUUACAACAUCUGGCUUCAAGCCCUCACUUCAAGAAGACUUCACACUUGGGCCGGUGUUGCUGACUGGUAUACACUGAAGCACAUUCCCCAGUCACCUGCUGAGGCAGAGUCCUCCCACUGGUGGAGCUUGGCUGCUUUGGCUGUGGUUCUAAGCUCAGUCUAGGCCUGCCCUCUCUAAAGCCUGGAUCCCUGGAGGAGGUGAGCCUUUUUCCCUGACCGCCAACCUGCCUCUCCUCACCAUUCCACAGACCUGGUGUCUUCACUGACUCUCGGCCGGCCUUCAACUCCAGUAGGGAGGCAGUGAGAGCAAAUCUCUUUUACGGGACCGUAGACUUCUUUCAGUAAUGAAGAAGAAAAACAACUGCUUUAAGUGAAUAAGGGAGAGAACGCCUACUUCUGGGAGUCAAAAGUCCCACUGUAGUUUCCAUGUAUCAUUGCCACUAAACUGAGUGAAGAGGACAACCUUGAAAGGGGAGCCUCCAUAAUCUGGCCUGGCUAGGUUAUGGAGAAUUACUCAAGAAUGAGCCCAAAGUCAGAUCUGGUGGGAACCUGAACCUGCCAGCACCCAGGAGUGCUACUGGUGGCCAAGUGUAGAGAUCUUCAGACUGGGGUGCAAGUAUCUUGAGCAUGAAAAAGGGAUCCAGUUUAUAGAUGCUCAUUUUCAGGGACCUACAACUGAGCUGUCUGAGAAGGCUACUGUGCCUUACUCUUUUAAGACCUCAUGCUGCCCUUUCAUUACUGCCCCUUCCCACUUUAGAAAAGAAUUCCCACCUGGAAUCUUAUGAGGCCACUGCUUCUGGAAGUAAAGAGUUCCUAACCAAGGAACUAUUUAAAAUCUUAGUUUUAAAGAAAGAUCCUUAAAGUAUUUAUCAAGGGACCAUAAUUUUGUGUUUUCCCCUAGCUUAUACUAAACACCAUAUAUCACCAAUUCUAAGAUAAGCAUUUUUUCACAUUGUAACCUCUCUGAAAUUGGUGUAUCUUACCAUCAUGUAAGCCCAGUGGUUGCUGUUAUUACCUGCACUUGUGCAUUUUCACAAUCAAAACUUGUAGAAUGCAUAUUGGACAUAUAAUGGAGCACUUUUUUAUCACCUAAGAAGCAGAGCUGUGGGGCGAAAGUGGACAGUGGGUGGUGAAUCAAAUGAGGUUAACAAUAUUCCUAAAGCAGAAGACAAAUUCUUUUGUCUAGAAAGACUCUCUAGGUCAAGUAGAUGAGUUUCUAAAUUUAAACCUAUCACCCAGAGAUACAUUCCUUGUUGCCAAUUUUGACAACUUAAAAAACUUCUGUAAGGGAAGUCUGUAAGGAAACGCUCUAUUCCCAGCUCUCUUUCUUAUUUGCUAGGUUGACUGAAGGCAAUUUUCCUCUACAUUACUUUCCUUGAACAGAUACAGGUUUAUGAGUAAUUUCAACAGUAUUCAUAAAAUGAAUCUGCUCUUCAAAAGUUUGAUGAUAUGAUCAUUUCAACAGAAAAAAAUAGAAGGUAAAACAUGUACAUUCCGGUUACAACUAUGUACAAAUGCAUGCGUAUAUAGUAAUAAAGUUCUGAAGUGAAUUUUGAGUAAUAUCUAAAAUCUAAUUUAUUGAAUUUUAAAAAUAACACUCCCAUAGAAACUCCUAACUGACCUCCACUUUAACAACCCAGCAAGUAACAAGUUCUCUCUUCCCUCUAUAAACUAUUCUGCAGGGUACCCAUGCACACCACAUGCUAGUAGUCUACUCUCUGUGUAUAAGCACUUUUGCUGCCAUCUCUCUCCAGAUCAAACAAACAAACAAACACAAUCAGUAAGAAUAUAGAUUUGAACUAUACAAUCAAUAGGCUUGAACUAAUGGACCUGUAGAAAACAUUUUACCCAACAAAAAAUAUACAUUCUUGGUACUUCCCUGGUGGCGCAAUGGUUAAGAAUCCGCCUGCCAAUGCAGGGGACACAGGUUCGAUCCCUGGUCCGGGAAGAUCCCACAUGCCACGGAGCAACUAAGCCCGUGCGCCACAACUAGUGAGCCUGUGCUCUAGAGCCCGCGAGCCACAACUACUGAAGCCCGUGCUCCACAACUACUAAAGCCCGCGCGCCUAGAUCCCAUGCUCCGCAACGAGAAGCCACCGCAAUGAGAAGCCCACACACCACAAUGAAGAGUAGACCCCACGCGCCACAACUAGGGAAAGCCCAUGCACAGCAAUGAAGAUGCAACGCAGCCAAAAAUAAAUAAAUAAACUUAUUUUAAAAAAAUACACAUUCUUUUCGAGUAUACUCAGAUCGUUUACAUAAACUGUCCAUCUACGGGAGCAUAAAGCAAAUUUCAAUUUUCAAGGGUUGGAAUCGUAUAUAUCUCAUUUGCCACAAGGUCGUUAAGUUAAAAAAUCAAUAAUUGAAAUAUCAUUAUUGGAAAAUUAAGAGAAUCACUUCUAAAUAAUUUGUGGACCCAAAGAAAAAUAAUAAUGGAAAUUAGAGCAUAUUUAGAACUAAACGAUAAUGAAAAUAAUACUGUAGUAAAUUGUAUUAUUGUCCCAAAUAGUUUCUAACUUCCCUGUAUAAAAUUAACAUCCCUGACACUUUCUCUGCCUUUACUGUUUUAUUUUUCUUCAUAGAACAUAUCACCACAUAAAAAUCACAUAUUUGUUUACCUGUUUAUCUUCCUUAGCCUAAUAUAAUUGUCAUGGGAAUAGAAACUUCUCUCUUGUGUUCACCAGUGUAUCUCAAGUUCCUGGCACAUAGUAGUCAAUAAAUAUCCAUUGAAUGAA